rnacentral:piRNA from 2 species
UUUAAAGUGAAUCGUAAGAGAACCUCAGC